UGAUCCUGACCCCUCCAUUGACUACUUAUAUUUCUUUAAAGGUUUCACGAAGUAUUCAAAGUACUUGCUGAAAGUGAUGAGGGGAAACUCCAUGUCCUGAGAGUUGUAUACGAGGUUUGGAAGAAUCAUCCACAGAUGAUUGCUGUUCUUGUGGAUAAGAUGAUUCGAACACAGAUUGUUGAUUGUGCUGCAGUAGCAAACUGGAUCUUCUCUUCAGAACUUGCACAUGAUUUUACUAGGUUCUAUGUCUGGGAAAUCUUACAUUCCACAAUUCGUAAAAUGAACAAGCAUGUACUGAAGAUUCACAAAGAACUGGAGGAGACUAAGGCAAGAUUGGCAAGACAGCACAAAAGAGUGCUGCUGGAUUCGGACAGUUGCAUCUGCCUUUUGCUUCUCUUGGAUUUUAUUUUCGAAUGUCCUUGUAUGACCUAGACUACUGUUUACAGUGAGAUGACUAUCAAAUAUUUUUAGACACAUUGAGUGGACUCUUAAGUCCUA